UACAGAGGUCUCAAGCGUUGUUCGGAUUCAUUGGGCGUAAAGGGUGCGCAGGCGGCCGAGUGUGUGAGGCGUGAAAGCCCGGGGCUUAACCCCGGAAUUGCACCUCAAACUACACGGCUAGAGCAUUGGAGAGGGUAGCAGAAUUCAUGGUGUAGCAGUGAAAUGCGUAGAUAUCAUGAGGAAUACCAGAGGCGAAGGCGGCUACCUGGACAAUUGCUGACGCUCAGGCACGAAAGCGUGGGGAGCAAACAGG
rnacentral:rRNA from 1 species